rnacentral:lncRNA from 1 species
UGAAGUUAUUGUAUGAUUGUAUGAGUCUAUGACACGUGAAUCACGCCUCCCCCAUCGCGUGAAACAUCAAACUUAUUUAUGCGCCAUCUACAUAUAUAUUUGGUUUGUUUCAUAUAAGACAAUGCAAAAACCAAUCAUUUAUUUAUAUAAUCAAAUAGAAUUAUUAAAGUGAGUACAAAUACAUGUAUGAAACCAUAUAUGAUUAAUAAUUUUUCUUGAUGAGCCUUUUACUCAAUUUGUUUAUGGGCCUUUUCCUCUGCGGGAUUUUGAAGGAGGUACAUAAAAACGAGGGGGAGGAGGAGGAAUUGGUGGAGACGGAAUUAGUGGAGAUGGAAUUGGUGGAGACGACAUCUUUUUACCUGAUAACAAUAUUGAAGAUAUUGUUUCAUUAAAUAAUUUGCAACCAUUAAAUAUACAAUCAAAGAAUCAAUUGAAAAUAUACAUCUGAACAUUUGCACCAUGACAAUAAAUAAAAAAUGAGUGCAAAUACUAACGUUCGUCGCGUUUGGCUUCUGUGAAUCCAACUUGAGAGGAGAUAAAUAGAAGUAGAAGAAGUAAAGACAAAAGAAGAGAAACUAAAUGUGAUAUCUUUGUAGCCAUUUAUGGUCCACUUUGUCUUCCUACCGUAGCGAAAGACCAUCUCAUGCUAUCGAUCUAUAUAUAGAGAGAAGUAAACGAAGCAUCAAUAAUCUACAAACUCACCAACUACUUCUCCACUCAACAGUUCUUUUACAUUAUUUCUCCGAAAGAAGGAUAUUACACUUCUUCAAUAUUAUUCAUUGCUCGUUUCCAUAGGAAGACUCAUGAUAAAAAUA